GACGAACGCUGGCGGCGUGCCUAAUACAUGCAAGUCGAACGAACUCUGGUAUUGAUUGGUGCUUGCAUCAUGAUUUACAUUUGAGUGAGUGGCGAACUGGUGAGUAACACGUGGGAAACCUGUCCAGAAGCGGGGGAUAACACCUGGAAACAGAUGCUAAUACCGCAUAACAACUUGGACCGCAUGGUCCGAGUUUGAAAGAUGGCUUCGGCUAUCACUUUUGGAUGGUCCCGCGGCGUAUUAGCUAGAUGGUGGGGUAACGGCUCACCAUGGCAAUGAUACGUAGCCGACCUGAGAGGGUAAUCGGCCACAUUGGGACUGAGACACGGCCCAAACUCCUACGGGAGGCAGCAGUAGGGAAUCUUCCACAAUGGACGAAAGUCUGAUGGAGCAACGCCGCGUGAGUGAAGAAGGGUUUCGGCUCGUAAAACUCUGUUGUUAAAGAAGAACAUAUCUGAGAGUAACUGUUCAGGUAUUGACGGUAUUUAACCAGAAAGCCACGGCUAACUACGUGCCAGCAGCCGCGGUAAUACGUAGGUGGCAAGCGUUGUCCGGAUUUAUUGGGCGUAAAGCGAGCGCAGGCGGUUUUUAAGUCUGAUGUGAAAGCCUUCGGCUCAACCGAAGAAGUGCAUCGGAAACUGGGAAACUUGAGUGCAGAAGAGGACAGCGGAACUCCAUGUGUAGCGGUGAAAUGCGUAGAUAUAUGGAAGAACACCAGUGGCGAAGGCGGCUGUCUGGUCUGUAACUGACGCUGAGGCUCGAAAGUAUGGGUAGCAAACAGGAUUAGAUACCCUGGUAGUCCAUACCGUAAACGAUGAAUGCUAAGUGUUGGAGGGUUUCCGCCCUUCAGUGCUGCAGCUAACGCAUUAAGCAUUCCGCCUGGGGAGUACGGCCGCAAGGCUGAAACUCAAAGGAAUUGACGGGGGCCCGCACAAGCGGUGGAGCAUGUGGUUUAAUUCGAAGCUACGCGAAGAACCUUACCAGGUCUUGACAUACUAUGCAAAUCUAAGAGAUUAGACGUUCCCUUCGGGGACAUGGAUACAGGUGGUGCAUGGUUGUCGUCAGCUCGUGUCGUGAGAUGUUGGGUUAAGUCCCGCAACGAGCGCAACCCUUAUUAUCAGUUGCCAGCAUUAAGUUGGGCACUCUGGUGAGACUGCCGGUGACAAACCGGAGGAAGGUGGGGAUGACGUCAAAUCAUCAUGCCCCUUAUGACCUGGGCUACACACGUGCUACAAUGGAUGGUACAACGAGUUGCGAACUCGCGAGAGUAAGCUAAUCUCUUAAAGCCAUUCUCAGUUCGGAUUGUAGGCUGCAACUCGCCUACAUGAAGUCGGAAUCGCUAGUAAUCGCGGAUCAGCAUGCCGCGGUGAAUACGUUCCCGGGCCUUGUACACACCGCCCGUCACACCAUGAGAGUUUGUAACACCCAAAGUCGGUGGGGUAACCUUUUAGGAACCAGCCGCCUAAGGUGGGACAGAUGAUUAGGGUG
rnacentral:rRNA from 1 species